GGGUCAGUAGGUUGGUCGUGCCACCGGUACGUACUGGUCUCAUUGAUUCCUCCUUCCUGAAGAACCGUAAGGCCAUUAAUUUGGUGUUGCGGGGAAACAGGACUGUUACUUUGAAAAAAUUAGAGUGUUUAAAGCAAGCUAACGCUUGAAUACAUUAGCAUGGAAUAAUGAAAUAGGACGAUCGAUCCUAUUUUGUUGGUUUCUAGGAUUGACGUA
rnacentral:rRNA from 1 species